UUAACUGAAACCAAAAAGAGGUAUAUUAUUGUUAAUAAUAAAAUUGAAUUUAAAUUCCAGUUAAA
rnacentral:tRNA from 1 species